UCCCAUUCUACCUCACACUUGCAAGAUCAAACACAACAUCGCUUCUUCUGUGAUGUCAGAGUCCCCAGGCCAAUCAAAUCAGAAUCUCUAGGAGUGGGUCCCUGAUGCUCAUGCUUUUUAGGAGGGCAUCACCCAUCAUCCCAAUAAGCAGCCAGAAUUGGAAACCACCGCCAGGAGCCUUUCCCCUCCCUUGGGCAGCUUCUUCCAUCUUGAGAACAUCUUUGUGCCUUGCAAUACCAGCGUUCAUUCUCACAUCCACGAUGAAGGAACUGAGCUCCGCAGGGUGAGACACUUCAGUGGUACAGCUGGAUUAUUCUCAGCAACUGACACAAGAACAGAAAACCAAACACUGCAUGUUCUCACUGAUAAACAGAUAAGUGAAUACAACUGAUAAGAAAGGCCAACAAGGAAGGGGGAAGGCAAAGGAGGCCACAGGCUUCAGCUCUGAUGUUAAGACCCUGUGAAGGAUGUUUUCCAGGCUCCCUUCUCACCUGGCUCCCUGCCAGAUCCUGUCGAUGGGAGGCACAGGGGAACAGCCAGUGGGAGGAGAGCUCAACUCCUGUGGGAUACCCCUCCAGCAGCUGCAGAGAAAGCUGGCCCUCAGGCACCCCUGCUGUGAUUUGACUGGGGCUGCCAGAUGCCCCAAGCAGGACUCUGUCUCCCCUCCCUGAGGGCUAUGCCUGAGCCACAGCGGGUACCUGCCAGGAAGGUUCUGGUAACAUUGCCUUUUCCCUUUUGUUGUCUUGGUCCCAGGGGUGGUGGCUGCUUCUUGCAGUUACUAGUCUCUGGGUUACCUUGGUGUCCACCUUGUGCUCUUUCUUUUUUUCACUUGUUUUACUGAUUCCUUGCAUUAAAUCUGCUCCCUGAAAUUCUUAGAAUGGUUUUUUUUUGCUGACGGGACCCCGGGCUGAUAGGACAAUGAAACUGGGAGGUUAAACAGGAGACUGACUGUACCUCUCUGCACUGAGUGGUUGAAUUUACUUCUUAUCUGCACUGAGGUCCCUAUUCCUUUGGGACAGUUCCAAGUCCACCUUAUCCCCGUGUUCUAAGGCUAUCUAUUCAAUUGCCUUUCACAAGAAGCCCCAGGCAAGGUGUGAGAGGUCCGCCCAGACUCAGCCCACAUUCUGAUUUCUCAGAAGCAGUUUAGGGCCAAACUUUCCACGCUGAGGAUAACUGCAUGAUUCUAAAAAAAGAGUAUUAAAACAAAAACAUAAACAACUU